UGUGCCACCAUCCCUGUCACUGGUACAGCAUAUGCAUUCUGGGUUUUUUCUUUCACAUUUGAGAGAAGAUGGAUAAGUAACACUUUCUGUGUCCAGAUUAUCUUCAGUUCGUACUAUUUAUCCAUCAGUUUGUCAUAAUCAUGUUUUGACCCAGAGACCCAUAACCCAAUGUGUUUAUGUAUUUGUGGUUCAAGAGAUGAACAAAUGCGCUCUUGUCUGAUCGAUAUUUGUGAAAAACAUGUUUUUGUUUGGCCAUGCAGCCUUUCAGGUUUUAUUCAUCUCUGUGAUACAAACUUCACCACAUUGGAGCUGUGAUGAUGCGUGUGAUGUAGCCUUUGUUCAUACUUGAAUCGAAUGCUCACGAGCUUUGGUGGUUGAUAUUUUGCUGGAUGUUUCAACAGCCCUGCGCGGCUACAUUGACGACCGAGCGAGCAAGCAGACGUGUAAUGCGAAACAUCUGAUGUGCAGUUCAGGACCAAAUCCACCAGGACCGAUUGAUGGAGUUCAGAGUCCCUGAAUCCACCGGUAUUGGUCUUUGUUCAAAGCAAAGAGAGGGCAAAAGAGCUCUACAGAGAGCUGGUAUAUGACGACAUUAGAGUUGAUGUAAUCCAUGGAGACCUUACUGAAGAGCAGCGUCAAGAUGCUGUUGACAACUUGAGAGCUGGAAAAAGGUGGGUGCUAAUAGCAACAGAGGUUCUCCCGCGGGGAAUGGAUUUCAAAGGUGUCAAGUGUGUAAUCAACUAUGAUUUCCCUGAGUCCGCGUCUGCCUACAUUCACAGAAUAGGACAGUCCGGAAGAGCAGGCAGAUCGGGGGAGGCGAUCACGUUCUUCACGGAGGAGGACAAGCCGUUCCUGUGGAACAUCGCCAACAUACUGGUAUCUUCGGGCUGCGAGGUUCCUUCCUGGAUGGUGGCGUUGCCCAAGCUCAAGAGCAGGAAGCACAGGGUGGACAGGUACCGCAUCUCCUUUUUAACCGAUGAAGAUUGAGAGUGAUAUUGUGUAACCGUAACAAUUUUGUAGAGAUGACACGUUUGGCCUCACUUUUCCCUGUUUGAAUGCCCGGUGCGUGUAUCACUCAGCUUUCCUGACUAAAACCAGAUAUGGGCAUAUGCAUCCGAGCAUAUCUUUUAUGAUUUGCUACAGUUUUAUGCAUUGGCUGUUGGACUGUCGUUUCACUCCUAAUCACAA